CAAUAGCGUAUAUUAAAGUUGUUGCAGUUAAAAAGCUCGUAGUUGGAUUUCUGGUAGGAGCGACCGUGCCGAACUUGAUUGUUCGAGUAUUGUGUUGUCUUCAGCCAUCCUCGUGGAGAACUUUUCUAACAUUAACUUGUUGGGAUUGGGACCCGCGUCGUUUACUGUGAAAAAAUUAGAGUGUUUAAAGCAGGCAUUAGCUUGAAUACAUUAGCAUGGAAUAAUAAGAUAGGACUUUGGUACUAUUUUGUUGGUUUGCAUACCAAAUUAAUGAUCAACAGGAACAGUUUGAGGAUAUUCGUAUAAACAUGUCAGAGGUGAAAUUCUUGGAUUUUGAUCAGACGAACUACUGCGAAAGCAUUUAUCAAGGAUGUUUUCAUUAA
rnacentral:rRNA from 1 species